UAAAGAAGAAAAGUGGGGAGGCUCAAUAAUCUUCCCUUCAUCGUCCUCUUCUUCUAGGUUUAUCAGGAAAAAGUCAAAAUUGGAACUUGCCAUUUACGGCCCCCGUACAGCACAUGUGGUGACUAAGGACCUUGCCAACUUAGCAGGAAGGCACCUGCAGACGAAGGCCCUCCACACGAGGGAGGAGAGCCAGGCAGAGGCUAA
rnacentral:lncRNA from 12 species